CACCAAGAAAUCGAGUUAUACGUUUUAUGGUUAAAAGACAGUUAAAUGUUUAAGUAAUAUGGGUUAGUUUGAUGCUCUAUAUAGAAGUAAAAUUUAAGUAUAGGUGUAUAAUUUUUUAGUAACUUUUUAGAUUGAAUCUGUGAAAUCCUUAAGGGAAACUGGGAUUAGGUACCCCAUUAUUUUUGGGUGUAAAUUGAAUUGAAUUUACCAGAGUACUAUGAAUGCAAAAAAUUUAAAACUCAAAGAACUUGGCGGUGUUUUAGACCACUCAGGGGAACCUGUCUCGUAAUCGAUAAUCCACGUUGUAUCUGACCUUUUUUUGUUUUCAGUUUGUAUACCGUUGUCGUCAGGUAACUUUUUAGAGAGUAGAAGUUAGCAAUAGAAAUAUAGUGAUUUAGUACGUCAAAUCAAGGUGCAGCUAAUAAAAAGGGGAGGAUGGGUUACAAUUAUAAUGAUUUAUAAUACGGAAAAAUGUAUGAAGUAUAUGUUGUUUAAAGGCGGACUUGAAAGUAAAUUAAUAAGUUAUAUGAAUAACUUGAAUAAGGCUCUGAAACGUGU
rnacentral:rRNA from 1 species